UACGUAGGUGGCAAGCGUUGUCCGGAUUUACUGGGCGUAAAGCGUGCGCAGGCGGUUAUGUAAGUCAGUUGUGAAAUCCCCGGGCUCAACCUGGGAACUGCAUCUGUGACUGCAUCGCUGGAGUACGGCAGAGGGGGAUGGAAUUCCGCGUGUAGCAGUGAAAUGCGUAGAUAUGCGGAGGAACACCGAUGGCGAAGGCAAUCCCCUGGGCCUGUACUGACGCUCAUGCACGAAAGCGUGGGGAGCAAACAGG
rnacentral:rRNA from 1 species